AGUUCUCUGUAGUGUUUGCCAAUGUUGGAGCCGUCUGCAAAGUGUCCCCGGCAAGAAGAGGCUGCCUACCACAAGGACUUUAGCUUACUUUUUAAAGAUUGAAGAAAAAAAAGAAGACAGAAAAAGAAGAACUCAAAGAUACACAAAGUAAUUUGAACCAAGGCUCAGAAGUUUUUGGAGCCGUGAGGGAUACAGCAGUUUGGUCAAUAUUGUCUUAACAUGCUUCAAAUAAAUCAGCUUCUCUCCAAGAUAAAAUGGCAAACCCAAAAGAGAAAACUGCAAUGUGUCUGGUAAAUGAGUUAGCCCGUUUCAAUAGAGUCCAACCCCAGUAUAAACUUCUGAAUGAAAGAGGGCCUGCUCAUUCAAAGGCAGUAUAACUCCAACUGUGGAACUGAAUGGGCUUGCUAUGAAAAGGGGAGAGCCUGCCAUCUACAGGCCAUUAGAUCCAAAGCCAUUCCCAAAUUAUAGAGCU
rnacentral:lncRNA from 1 species